rnacentral:rRNA from 1 species
GUGAGGAAUAUUGCGCAAUGGAGGCAACUCUGACGCAGCCAUGCCGCGUGCAGGAAGAAGGCGCUACGCGUUGUAAACUGCUUUUAACCGGGAAGAAACCCCAGGACGUGUCCUGGGUUGACGGUACCGGAGGAAUAAGCACCGGCUAACUUCGUGCCAGCAGCCGCGGUAAUACGAAGGGUGCAAGCGUUAUCCGGAUUCAUUGGGUUUAAAGGGUGCGUAGGCGGAGCGUUAAGUCAGUGGUGAAAUGCUGCAGCUUAACUGUAGACUUGCCAUUGAUACUGGCGCUCUUGAGUGCGCUUGAAGUGGGCGGAAUGUGCCGUGUAGCGGUGAAAUGCUUAGAUAUGGCACAGAACACCAAUUGCGAAGGCAGCUCACUAAGGCGAUACUGACGCUGAGGCACGAAAGCGUGGGGAUCGAACAGGAUUAGAAACCCGGGUAGUCC